GAAAACCACGGUGGUACAGGAUGGGCCCGCGUCUGAUUAGUUAGUUGGCAGGGUAACGGCCUACCAAGACGAUGAUCAGUAGCCGGCUUGAGAGAGUGGACGGCCACAUUGGGACUGAGACACGGCCCAGACUCCUGCGGGAGGCAGCAGUGGGGAAUAUUGCACAAUGGGGGGAACCCUGAUGCAGCAAUGCCGCGUGGGUGAAGAAGCACUCCGGUGCGUAAAGCCCUGUCAGCAGGGAAGAAAAUGACAGUACCUGACCAAGAAGCCCCGGCUAACUACGUGCCAGCAGCCGCGGUAAUACGUAGGGGGCAAGCGUUAUCCGGAUUUACUGGGUGUAAAGGGAGCGCAGGCGGUAUGGCAAGUCAGAUGUGAAAACCCAGGGCUCAACCCUGGGACUGCAUUUGAAACUGCCAUACUGGAGUGCCGGAGAGGUAAGUGGAAUUCCUAGUGUAGCGGUGAAAUGCGUAGAUAUUAGGAGGAACACCAGUGGCGAAGGCGGCUUACUGGACGGUAACUGACGCUGAGGCUCGAAAGCGUGGGGAGCAAACAGGAUUAGAUACCCUGGUAGUCCACGCUGUAAACGAUGAAUACUAGGUGUCGGGGUACAUAAGUACCUCG
rnacentral:rRNA from 1 species